rnacentral:rRNA from 1 species
AGAAUGAACGCUGGCGGCGUGCUUAACACAUGCAAGUCGCACGAGAACUCUUCUGCUUGCAGAAGAUAGUAAAGUGGCGCACGGGUGAGUAACGCGUGGGUAAUCUACCUCUGAAUUGGGGAUAACAUUGUGAAAGCGAUGCUAAUACCGAAUAAUAUCCCGAGAACCUAGGUUUUUGGGAUCAAAGGUGGCCUCUACAUGUAAGCUACUGUUUAGAGAUGAGCCCGCGUACCAUUAGCUUGUUGGUAGGGUAAUGGCCUACCAAGGCAACGAUGGUUAGCUGGUCUGAGAGGAUGAUCAGCCACACUGGAACUGACACACGGUCCAGACUCCUACGGGAGGCAGCAGUGAGGAAUUUUGCGCAAUGGGGGAAACCCUGACGCAGCAACGCCGCGUGAGUGAUGAAGGCUUUCGAGUCGUAAAGCUCUGUCAAGUGAGAAGAACCUGUCCCGCGAUAAUACCGCGGGAUACUGACGGUAUCACUGAAGGAAGCACCGGCUAACUCCGUGCCAGCAGCCGCGGUAAUACGGGGGGUGCAAGCGUUAUUCGGAAUUAUUGGGCGUAAAGGGCGCGUAGGCGGUCUUUUAAGUCAGAUGUGAAAGCCCGGGGCUCAACCCCGGAAGAGCAUUUGAAACUAAUGGACUUGAGUAUGGGAGAGGGAAGUGGAAUUCCUGGUGUAGAGGUGAAAUUCGUAGAUAUCAGGAGGAACACCGGUGGCGAAGGCGACUUCCUGGACCAAUACUGACGCUGAGGCGCGAAGGCGUGGGGAGCAAACAGGAUUAGAUACCCUGGUAGUCCACGCAGUAAACGGUGAACACUAGGUGUAGCGGGUAUUGACCCCUGCUGUGCCGCAGUUAACGCAUUAAGUGUUCCGCCUGGGGAGUACGACCGCAAGGUUAAAACUCAAGGAAUUGACGGGGCCCGCACAAGCGGUGGAGCAUGUGGUUUAAUUCGACGCACGCGAAGACCUUACCUGGAUUUGACAUCCCGAGUAGUCUCUC